rnacentral:lncRNA from 1 species
CAAAUGUCAAUCUCCUCUGGCAACCCCCUUGCAGAUGCACCCAGAAACAAUACUUUACCAGCUAUCUAGGCAUCCUUCAGUCCAAUCAAGUUGACACCUAAUAUUAACCAUCACGGGGCUUAAUGAUAACUUUGCAACUCAGAUGUCCUGUUGUCUUACUUUCUAGAUUUAUAAUUGUGUUCUACCUAGUUUGGAAAGGGUGGAUGAGGCCCAAAUAACUAGGCCAAUUUUUGAAUAUCAAUUUUUAAAAAUCUUUUAUUAGUUUACAUGUUAGGCUAAUCCAAGUUGGUAGAAUAAUCUGCUCAUUGGGAGAGUCAGUACACCACCAAAAUAACCUGCCAAAUUAUCCAAAUUAUAUAAAGCCAUAGCACUUAGAAUUGAACUGGGUACAAAUAAAUAAAUAGAUCAUAAUAGUGAAUGCAUAAAUGAUCCAAAAAAUACCAGAAAGGUGGCCUUUCAAAUCAAUGGGGAAAAAUAAAGGUUACUUAAUAAAUGAUAGGAAAAAAUACAUAGUUUUUGAAGAAAAUGAAACCAGAUUUCUAUAUUACCCCUUAUGUCUAAAGAGAACUUAGAUAUAUUAAAGACUUUAAAUAACACAUGUGUAAAUAUAUCUAUUUUUAUAAGCAUGAAACCAUGACUUAAAUAAAGUAUGUGUCAAAAAAUUUAGUUAGCUUAUUAAUUAAGGAACAAGUAAUGUGUUUAAAAAUUGGUCCAAAGGAGAACUCAAAGAACAGAUACAUAUAUCAGCAAUCAGGAAUUCUAAAAUGAAUUUGCUAAUAGAUGCAAAACUGGCCUGUCCACAGGGGGAAAUUAAUUGCAUCUUUUUUUUUAUGUACUUUAAGUUUUAGGGUACAUGUGCACAAUGUGCAGGUUAGUUAAAUAUGUAUACAUGUGACAUGCUGGUGCGCUGCACCCACUAACUCGUCAUCUAAUUAAUUGCAUCUUAAUCAGACAGAAUUAUUUUGUAUGUCUGGACAAUAAUCAUUUCCAUCUCUCAGUUUUCUACAAUCAUUAAGAUGAUCUUAUCUGUGCCAUUUUCCAUGCUUCCUUUGAAUUCAUGGAACAAAGUAGUGAAAAACUCUGCUCAGCAAAUACAAAAUCAUUGUUUAGACCAGAUCUGAGGCCAGCAUAAAAGCCAAAAGAAUGUUGUAGUUAGAGAGUCCAAAUGCAACCCUAGCUCUUCUGAAUUCCCUAAGGGGCUGCUCAAGGUAAAGCUGUCACAGAGAGUUUGUGAUUAAACCAUUGGAUAAAAGCCAGACACAUUGCAUGCUUGAAAAAGGAGUUAUUUUCACAAGGGUAAUUGCCAGAGACUGAUGCAGUCAAGAGUCAAAGCAGGGUAGAUUCUCAUCAGAAAUGUGUGCCCACAGAAAAGACUCUUGGCAGAGGACACGCAGCAUUAGGCUGUGACAUCAGACUUUUGGGCCACUGAGUUGCAUAAGCA